rnacentral:rRNA from 1 species
UACGUAGGGCGCAAGCGUUGUCCGGAAUUAUUGGGCGUAAAGAGCUCGUAGGCGGCUUGUCACGUCGGGUGUGAAAGCCCCGGGGCUUAACCCCGGGUCUGCAUUCGAUACGGGCUAGCUAGAGUGUGGUAGGGGAGAUCGAAUUCCUGGUGUAGCGGUGAAAUGCGCAGAUAUCAGGAGGAACACCGGUGGCGAAGGCGGAUCUCUGGGCCAUUACUGACGCUGAGGAGCGAAAGCGUGGGGAGCGAACAGG